rnacentral:misc_RNA from 1 species
AGAAUUUCAUCCGCCCCUCAAUUUUAGCUAUGCAGUUUUGGGCGGAUGAAAGUUGGGAUCGGAGGGAAGCGGCUUCCUGACCCACCUUCUCGAUCUCCUGCCUCAAGCGGUGAGCCUUCUCCCGGACAAUGUGUUGGUUCACCAAACUCUCCACACUCAGGCUCAUAGUCUGGGUCAGGAUAUCAUCGAGACUGUCCGGGGUUAGCCUAUCCCGAUCCUCACGAAGGCAGAUGGAGGCCCUCAAAACCUUAGCCAAACUCGGAUUCUCCCGAACAGUUCGGUUCUUCUCCAAGGAGUGGAUCAGUACUUAAGCGCCGCGGGAGAGGGUCCUCGAGGUAGGUUGGGAAGGACCUCCUUCAGCACUCGAAGUAAUUGGCGGAGGUGGUAGCGGCUCUUCAUGUCGAGGAGGAGACCGGAUCACUUCUACUUCAGGGAUCGGCGGUCCCGAGGGUCGGGACGAGCCUCCCUGCAUCUCCUCUGUGUCGUGCCUUGGCGUUUGAGAGGCCUCGGUGCGCUUCAUCUCCCGCACUUUUCUGGAGACCUCUCUCUUCCGCUUUCGGCUCUCCUUGGAAGCCUCGCCGCUUGCCAUACCUGCACAA